UACGAAGGGUGCAAGCGUUACUCGGAUUUACUGGGCGUAAAGCGCGCGCAGGCGGAUUGAUAAGUCAGAUGUGAAAUCUCGGGGCUCAACCCCGAAACUGCGUCUGAAACUGUUGAUCUAGAGUAUCGGAGGGGGAAGUGGAAUUUCGCAUGUAGGGGUAAAAUCCGUAGAGAUGCGAAGGAACACCAGAGGCGAAGGCGACUUCCUGGCCGAUAACUGACGCUGAGGCGCGAAAGCGUGGGGAGCAAACAGG
rnacentral:misc_RNA from 1 species